GAUGCCUUGUUCAAUCCUUCUACUGCCAACCCAACAACACCUUCCCUUCUCCUCUCUCUUUCUCUCUCUCUCUCUCUGAUCGUCAUUCCCAGUUGAUUUGCUUUGUGUUGAAUCACAGCAGCUUUAAGAGUGUCUCCCUUUUCACCACAUUGAUUUCUUUAGCCUUCUCUGGCGAAGGUGCAUCUUUAAGACCAUGUCCUCAUCAUCUGGAUCCUCCCCACCAUUCUAAAAGUCGAAGUAGUGUAGACUAAGUGGAGGCUGUUCUCUGCGGCAGCAAUCAAGUUGGGAAUGUAUUUUACAACCAAUCAUCUGAGGAUUGAUGACAGGCUCCGUUUAUCUAAGAUUUCAGUGAGAGACUGCUUUUACUCGAGAGAUGUUCUUGCCCCAAGUUUAGGUCUAAGGAUUGAAGUUUCCUCAGCUCUAAGUUGUAGGUCUUUUUGUGCCCGAGUUUAAUCUUGAUACAGUUACUUCGCAUUAUGUAGUUUCAUAUCUGUUAUUUCAGAGAUAAACAAAGAAUCUGUGACUUAA